GGAAUCUUGCGCAAUGGGCGAAAGCCUGACGCAGCCAUGCCGCGUGAAUGAUGAAGGUCUUAGGAUUGUAUAAUUCUUUCACCGGGGACGAUAAUGACGGUACCCGGAGAAGAAGCUUCGGCUAACUUCGUGCCAGCAGCCGCGGUAAUACGAAGGGGGCUAGCGUUGCACGGAAUUACUGGGCGUAAAGGGCGCGUAGGCGGAUGUUUAAGUUGAGGGUGAAAGCCCGGGGCUCAACCUCGGAAUAGCCUUCAAUACUGGGCAUCUUGAGUACGGGAGAGGUGAGUGGAACUCCGAGUGUAGAGGUGAAAUUCGUAGAUAUUCGGAAGAACACCAGUGGCGAAGGCGACUCACUGGCCCGUUACUGACGCUGAGGCGCGAAAGCGUGGGGAGC
rnacentral:rRNA from 1 species